CCUACGGGUGGCAGCAGUGGGGAAUAUUGGACAAUGGGGGGAACCCUGAUCCAGCCAUGCCGCGUGUGUGAAGAAGGCCCUCGGGUUGUAAAGCACUUUCAGUGAGGAAGAACGCCUGGUGGUUAAUACCCAUCAGGAAAGACAUCACUCACAGAAGAAGCACCGGCUAACUCCGUGCCAGCAGCCGCGGUAAUACGGAGGGUGCGAGCGUUAAUCGGAAUUACUGGGCGUAAAGCGCGCGUAGGUGGCUUGAUAAGCCGGUUGUGAAAGCCCCGGGCUCAACCUGGGAACGGCAUCCGGAACUGUCAAGCUAGAGUGCAGGAGAGGAAGGUAGAAUUCCCGGUGUAGCGGUGAAAUGCGUAGAGAUCGGGAGGAAUACCAGUGGCGAAGGCGGACUUCUGGACUGACACUGACACUGAGGUGCGAAAGCGUGGGUAGCAAACAGGAUUAGAUACCCUAGUAGUC
rnacentral:rRNA from 1 species